rnacentral:sRNA from 1 species
AUUUGAAUCCUGACCUAGGAUUGUUACUAGAAACCCACAAUCAUUAUAAUCUGGCUUGACUUAGUAGUUUUUGUACACAUCUUGAUUGCUAGCAAUACAGUGGACUAGAUUGACACCCACUAUAGCUGCAUCGACAUAUUUGUGUUUUAGGGGAAUUGAACUGAACUCACACAGCAUUCUGUAUAAGUAGGCAUAAAAAACCUGCUUAUCAUGAUGCUAGCAAUCAAGAUGCAAUCAGAGUUCACAGAGUCAAGCCAAGCAAUAACAGGUUUUAGAGUCUUCUAGCAAUCCUAAGUGAACAUGCAGGAAACAGAAAAUCAAGCAGAAACAAUAAAACACUCGACCAACACAACUCGUUGUAAAGCCCUAGGUGUGGUCGAGUAAUAGACAGAAAAUGUAACAGGGAUACUCGACUGUACAGUCUGUUGCCAGACAACUGGGUGGUCAAGUAACAGGUCGAGUAAGAAGAGAAAAAUGCAAAAACUACGCAACAGGUAACAAGAUGCAAUAAACAACAAAAGAGAAAACAAAGAAAUCAAUUAGAUAAAGAAUUCUCGAGGAUGAGGUAAUUGAGUAGUUUCGUUUUCUCAGUUUACAGGUGAUUGACAUGCUCAAUAAAUUAUCCCUAGACAACAAGUUCGAUAACCAAAUCUAAGUGCCAGCGCAACAAACCCUCAAGUUAAACCAGUCCAAGACUCAAUCACCAUUGACGAGAGCUAAUGAAUGGAAGAGGUUACUAGGUGCUCUAUAUGCAUUAAGGUCGUAGCUUAUACUCAAGUCCAUAUUCGAGAAUGCAUGAAAACCCUA